rnacentral:SRP_RNA from 2 species
GGUUCGGCUUUGCGCAGCGGACGUGUCACGAAUCGGGUCAGACCGGGAACGGAGCAGCCCUAAGAGAUAUUGUCCGGGUGCCGUGAAUGUCCGGGCCUCC